rnacentral:rRNA from 1 species
GACGAACGCUGGCGGCGUGCUUAACACAUGCAAGUCGAACGGAAAGGCCCUGCUUUUUUGGGGUGCUCGCGUGGCGCACGUGUGUGUAACACGUGAGUAACCUGCCCUUUACUUUGUGAUAACUUCAGGAAACUGGUGCUACUACCUGAUAGGAGCUCCUGCUGCAUGGUGGGGUUUGGAAAGUUUCGUCGGUUGGGGAUGGACUCGCGGGUUACCAGCUUGUUGGUGGGGUAGUGGCUUACCGAGGCUUAGAAGGGUAGGCGGCAUGAGAGGGUGGCCGGCGACAUGGGGACUGAGGUACGGACCAGAGGCGUACGGGGGGCAACAGGGGGAAAUAUUGCACAAUGGGCGGGAGCGUGAUACAGAAACGCCGGGUGCGGGAUGAAGGCCUAGGGGUGAUAAACCGCUGUCGGCUGUGACGAAGCGUGAGUGACGGUAAUAGGUGAAGAAGCACCGGCUAACUACGUG